rnacentral:rRNA from 1 species
UACGUAGGGUGCAAGCGUUGUCCGGAAUCAUUGGGCGUAAAGAGCGUGUAGGCGGCCCGGUAAGUCCGCUGUGAAAGUCAAAGGCUCAACCUUUGAAUGUCAGCGGAUACUGCAGGGCUAGAGUCCGGAAGAGGCGAGUGGAACUCCUGGUGUAGCGGUGGAAUGCGCAGAUAUCAGGAAGAACACCAACGGCGAAGGCAGCUCGCUGGGACGGUACUGACACUGAGACGCGAAAGCGUGGGGAGCGAAAAGG